AGACCCGAAACCCGGUGAUCUAGCCAUGGGCAGGUUGAAGGUUGGGUAACACUAACUGGAGGACCGAACCGACUAAUGUUGAAAAAUUAGCGGAUGACCUGUGGCUGGGGGUGAAAGGCCAAUCAAACCGGGAGAUAGCUGGUUCUCCCCGAAAGCUAUUUAGGUAGCGCCUCGUGAAUUCAUCUCCGGGGGUAGAGCACUGUUUCGGCUAGGGGGCCAUCCCGGCUUACCAACCCGAUGCAAACUGCGAAUACCGGAGAAUGUUAUCACGGGAGACACACGGCGGGUGCUAACGUCCGUCGUGAAGAGGGAAACAACCCAGACCGCCAGCUAAGGUCCCAAAGUCAUGGUUAAGUGGGAAACGAUGUGGGAAGGCCCAGACAGCCAGGAUGUUGGCUUAGAAGCAGCCAUCAUUUAAAGAAAGCGUAAUAGCUCACUGGUCGAGUCGGCCUGCGCGGAAGAUGUAACGGGGCUAAACCAUGCACCGAAGCUGCGGCAGCGACGUUUAUGCGUUGUUGGGUAGGGGAGCGUUCUGUAAGCCUGCGAAGGUGGCCUGUGAGGGUUGCUGGAGGUAUCAGAAGUGCGAAUGCUGACAUAAGUAACGAUAAAGCGGGUGAAAAGCCCGCUCGCCGGAAGACCAAGGGUUCCUGUCCAACGUUAAUCGGGGCAGGGUGAGUCGACCCCUAAGGCGAGGCCGAAAGGCGUAGUCGAUGGGAAACGGGUUAAUAUUCCCGUACUUGGUGUUACUGCGAAGGGGGGACGGAGAAGGCUAUGUUGGCCGGGCGACGGUU
rnacentral:rRNA from 1 species